CUAUAAGAUCGUAAAUCUCUCGAAUCUUUCCAUCUCGAGAUAAACCCACCAUCAGAUAAUCAUAUGUAGUAGAAUUAGGUACCAAAUCGUAAUUUGGAAAAUCGACUUCAAUCAUAUCAAGCAUUUUACCAGAGACAGGUUCCGUUACCGGUGAUCCUCUAAAAGCAGGACUCUGGAAUUUAGAAAGCGACCAUCUGUUUCCCCCAAUUACACCGAGAAUUGCAUUAAAGUAAUCGACACUUGGGCGGAUUCUUUUCUCCUUUACUCUUGCUACUAUAUAUUCAAGUAUAUGCUUGUUCCCAGUAUACAUUGCAACCCGUAAAAUAUGGGUAUAGUCAACAAUGUUAAAUUGAAUUCCCAAACGAUCAGCAUCUUGAAGGAUUAGCUUAAUUUGUAAAGAAACUAAAUCACGAUCACGAUGUCGGAUGUUUUUUCCAUUUUUGGGACAAACAACGGACCGUAAUAUUGAUUGAAAAUCCGAAGUUCUGAGUUGGUCAAACUCUUUUUUUGAACGUGCUUUAGAAUAU